rnacentral:rRNA from 1 species
UUCGAUUAGAGUUUGAUCACUGGCUCAGGACGAACGCUGGCGGCGUGCUUAACACAUGCAAGUCGAGCGGAAAGGCCCUUCGGGGUACUCGAGCGGCGAACGGGUGAGUAACACGUGAGCAACCUGCCCCAAGCUUUGGGAUAACCCUCGGAAACGGGGGCUAAUACCGAAUAUUACUUCUGGCCGCAUGGCUGGUGGUGGAAAGUUUUUCGGCUUGGGAUGGGCUCGCGGCCUAUCAGCUUGUUGGUGGGGUGAUGGCCUACCAAGGCGAUGACGGGUAGCCGGCCUGAGAGGGCGACCGGCCACACUGGGACUGAGACACGGCCCAGACUCCUACGGGAGGCAGCAGUGGGGAAUAUUGCACAAUGGGCGGAAGCCUGAUGCAGCGACGCCGCGUGAGGGAUGACGGCCUUCGGGUUGUAAACCUCUUUCAGCAGGGACGAAGCGAGAGUGACGGUACCUGCAGAAGAAGCACCGGCCAACUACGUGCCAGCAGCCGCGGUAAGACGUAGGGUGCGAGCGUUGUCCGGAUUUAUUGGGCGUAAAGAGCUCGUAGGCGGCUUGUCGCGUCGACCGUGAAAACUUGGGGCUCAACUCCAAGCCUGCGGUCGAUACGGGCAGGCUAGAGUUCGGUAGGGGAGACUGGAACUCCUGGUGUAGCGGUGAAAUGCGCAGAUAUCAGGAGGAACACCGGUGGCGAAGGCGGGUCUCUGGGCCGAUACUGACGCUGAGGAGCGAAAGCGUGGGGAGCGAACAGGAUUAGAUACCCUGGUAGUCCACGCUGUAAACGUUGGGCGCUAGGUGUGGGGGACCUCUCCGGUUUCCUGUGCCGCAGCUAACGCAUUAAGCGCC